CAGGCCCUACGGGACGCAGCAGUAGGGAAUUUUCGUCAAUGGGCGCAAGCCUGAACGAGCGAUGCCGCGUGAGUGAAGAAGGCCUUCGGAUCGUAAACCUCUGUCAGCAGGGAAGAACGGUCACUGUGCUAAUCAGCAGUGAAUUGACGGUACCUGCAAAGGAAGCACCGGCUAACUCCGUGCCAGCAGCCGCGGUAAUACGGAGGGUGCGAGCGUUAAUCGGAAUUACUGGGCGUAAAGCGCUCGUAGGCGGUAUGUCAAGUCAAGGGUGAAAUCCCCGCGCUCAACGUGGGAACUGCCUUUGA
rnacentral:rRNA from 1 species